AGGAAUAAUUACAAUUACAUGUCAUCACUAGUAUUCGUAAACGUCAGGGUUGUGUUCAACUUCGAUUCACAGGCUAUGCUCCGAUGCAACGUCAAAGGUGUGUCACGAGUUUUUAAUUAGUGAGUUUUUAGCAAUUGUGUUAAUAGCAAUACGUUCUUUCACUGGACUUAUAAAACUAGAAGGUAUUUUAAUUGAUCCAACCCAUUGCGAGCUGUCAUCAAUUCUCUCCUAUUCUUCCAAUUUCCUCAUGAACUAUUUAAUCACCUUAGCUGCCAACAAACAGUGUCAUCAAUCACCUGGGAAAUUCGG
rnacentral:misc_RNA from 1 species